rnacentral:rRNA from 1 species
CGCGCAGGCGGUGAUUUAAGCAGGAUGUGAAAGGCUACGGCUCAACCGUAGACAUGCACCCUGAACUGGGUCACUUGAGUAUUGGAGAGGCAGGCAGAAUUCCUGGUGUAGCGGUGAAGUGCGUAGAUAUCAGGAGGAAUACCGGAGGCGAAGGCGGCCUGCUGGACAAAUACUGACGCUGAGGCGCGAAGCGUGGGAGCAAACA